GACGGGCCCGCACAAGCAGCGGAGCGUGUGGUUUAAUUCGAUGUUACACGAAGAACCUUACCAGGGUUUGACAUGCAAGUGGUAGGAAGCCGAAAGGUGACCGACCCUUCGGGGAGCUUGCACAGGUGCUGCAUGGCUGUCGUCAGCUCGUGUCGUGAGAUGUUCGGUUAAGUCCGCUAACGAGCGCAACCCUCGCUGUGUGUUAUAUGUGUCACACGGGACUGCCGGUCUUAAGCCGGAGGAAGGUGGGGAUGAUGUCAAGUCAGCAUGGCCUUUAUAUCCUGGGCUACACACACGCUACAAUGGCCAGCACAAUAGGUUGCUAAGCCGCGAGGUGGCGCCAAUCCAUAAAGUUGGUCUCAGUUCAGAUUGUAGGCUGCAACCCGCCUGCAUGAAGAUGGAGUUGCUAGUAACCGCAGGUCAGCUAUACUGCGGUGAAUACGUUCCCGGGGCUU
rnacentral:rRNA from 1 species